rnacentral:rRNA from 1 species
UACGUAGGGUGCAAGCGUUAAUCGGAAUUACUGGGCGUAAAGCGUGCGCAGGCGGUUCUUUAGGACAGAUGUGAAAUCCCCGGGCUCAACCUGGGAACUGCAUUUGUGACUGUAGAGCUGGAGUACGGCAGAGGGGGAUGGAAUUCCGCGUGUAGCAGUGAAAUGCGUAGAUAUGCGGAGGAACACCGAUGGCGAAGGCAAUCCCCUGGGCCUGUACUGACGCUCAUGCACGAAAGCGUGGGGAGCAAACAGG